rnacentral:rRNA from 1 species
GGUGGGGUAACGGCCUACCAAGGCGACGAUACGUAGCCGACCUGAGAGGGUGAUCGGCCACACUGGAACUGAGACACGGUCCAGACUCCUACGGGAGGCAGCAGUAGGGAAUCUUCCGCAAUGGGCGAAAGCCUGACGGAGCAACGCCGCGUGAGUGAUGAAGGUCUUCGGAUCGUAAAGCUCUGUUGUUAGGGAAGAACAAAUGUGUAAGUAACUGUGCACAUCUUGACGGUACCUAACCAGAAAGCCACGGCUAACUACGUGCCAGCAGCCGCGGUAAUACGUAGGUGGCAAGCGUUAUCCGGAAUUAUUGGGCGUAAAGCGCGCGUAGGCGGUUUUUUAAGUCUGAUGUGAAAGCCCACGGCUCAACCGUGGAGGGUCAUUGGAAACUGGAAAACUUGAGUGCAGAAGAGGAAAGUGGAAUUCCAUGUGUAGCGGUGAAAUGCGCAGAGAUAUGGAGGAACACCAGUGGCGAAGGCGGCUUUCUGGUCUGCAACUGACGCUGAUGUGCGAAAGCGUGGGGAUCAAACAGGAUUAGAUACCCUGGUAGUCCACGCCGUAAACGAUGAGUGCUAAGUGUUAGGGGGUUUCCGCCCCUUAGUGCUGCAGCUAACGCAUUAAGCACUCCGCCUGGGGAGUACGGUCGCAAGACUGAAACUCAAAGGAAUUGACGGGGACCCGCACAAGCGGUGGAGCAUGUGGUUUAAUUCGAAGCAACGCGAAGAACCUUACCAAAUCUUGACAUCCUUUGACCGCUCUAGAGAUAGAGUUUUCCUCUUCGGAGGACAAAGUGACAGGUGGUGCAUGGUUGUCGUCAGCUCGUGUCGUGAGAUGUUGGGUUAAGUCCCGCAACGAGCGCAACCCUUGAACUUAGUUGCCAUCAUUCAGUUGGGCACUCUAAGUUGACUGCCGGUGACAAACCGGAGGAAGGUGGGGAUGACGUCAAAUCAUCAUGCCCCUUAUGAUUUGGGCUACACACGUGCUACAAUGGACAAUACAAAGGGCAGCGAAACCGCGAGGUCAAGCAAAUCCCAUAAAGUUGUUCUCAGUUCGGAUUGUAGUCUGCAACUCGACUACAUGAAGCUGGAAUCGCUAGUAAUCGUAGAUCAGCAUGCUACGGUGAAUACGUUCCCGGGUCUUGUACACACCGCCCGUCACACCACGAGAGUUUGUAACACCCGAAGCCGGUGGAGUAACCAUUUUGGAGCUAGCCGUCG